rnacentral:rRNA from 1 species
AUUAGAUACCCUAUUAUUUUUAAUGUAAAUUUUUAAAGCCUGAGUAUUAUUAGUUAUGUUCUUGAAACUUAAAGAAUUUGGCGGUAUUAUAGUCUAUUUAGAGGAAUCUGUUAUGUAAUUGAUAAUCCGCGUUGAAUCUUACUUAUAUUUUUUCUUGUAUACCGCUGUUUUGUGAAUAUUUUUAUAGAAAAUUUUCUUGAGAUGGAAAUAAAUAGUAUUUCAAGUCAAGGUGCAGUAAUAUAUAAGGCUAAUAAUGGAUUACAAUAAAUUUUAUUUAAAUGGAUUAUUAUUGAAAUAUUAAUAUGAAGGUGGAUUUAAUUGUAAUUUGAUGAAGAUUGUUCAGUUGAUUUAUAGCUCUAUAAUAUGUACACAUCGCCCG